UCUAUUUAACCCCUUCACUACAAAGUGCUUUACAUUGAAAAAAAUUAAUAUAUAUAUAAUGUUAAAUUAAUUUUUUUCAAUGUAAAGCACUUUGUAGUGAAGGGGUUAAAUAGA